rnacentral:lncRNA from 1 species
UGUGGCAUAAUUUAUUUACCAUUCCAUUUAAAAUCUUCAACAGUAGAAAACACUCAAAUUUCUUGUCUAAAAUCUAUAAACUAAGCACCAAAACUUACAAACUGCUUUUUAAGUAGAAAGUGUAAAAUGUAUUUCAGAUCAUAAUAUUUGUAUUAUCUAAUAUCUAUGGUAACUAAAUGUACAAUUAUCUCUUUGUAAUUUCAAGAUACACAACCAUCAGAAAUAAAGUUUUAAUAAAUAAUACAUGUUAUGUAUUAACAUGGUAACACUAACAAGGGUAUAGUACCUUUGCAAGUUUUUUUUAAACAAACACUCAAAGACCUGAUGUUUGAAAAAUAUCUAUCCAGGGUAUUUCCCCUAUUUAUUAUCAUAUAUCUAUCCAGGGUAUUUCCCCUAUUUAUUAUCAUAUAUCUAUCUUCAAGUCUCAGUAGUAUUUAGAAACAGAAAACAUUCACCAUUUUCUUGUGAACUAUCUUCAUAUUUGACAAUUAACUGAGUACAUAAAAUAACUCAUCAGAUAUAUAUAUAUAUAGAGGGAGAGAGAUGUAACAUUUGUUGAUUCAUACUUUUACUAAUUUGAAAUAAAUCUGUAUUUUUUUGGUGUUUUAAUCAACAUUGUUAUAAGCAUCAAUAUACCUUGUUCAAAAUUCAUUGGAUGAGUAUUAAAUUUGGAUAUAUUCUGGAAUUGACUGACUCAAAGCAAAAGUAUUACUUAUAACAAAAUUAGCUAUUAACAAUCUUCAAUUUCUGUACAUCAUCCUUAUCAUGAAAAAACAUCAAAAAUUCUAUUCCUCAAUUAAUAAAAAAUAUAUAGCAAGAUCAUCCUUACAUAAAGAACAAAACAUUACAUAACAUACACUAUUUUAAAUGUAGCUAGUAUACAAAAAUCUUUAUUAUUUAAAUAUCUAGUUUAAUUUUCCAAAUAUAAUUGAGUUUGUGUAUAGGUAUAGGAAGAUGUGGUAUGAGUGCCAAUGAGACAACUCUCCAUCCAAAUAACAAUUUAUAAAAGUAAACCAUUAUAGGUCAAGGUACGGCCUUCAACACAGAGCCUUAGCUCACACCGAACAAGAAGCUAUAAAUACAUAUGACAUUUAUUUGUUUUGAUCAAAGCAGCAUAAACAAUGCUUAAAUUAACAUGAACCAUUAAAAAAUUAUACAAAAAUAUGAAUGCAUAUGAAAUUUCAUAAUGAGUAUUCUUAAUAAAUUUGUAACUUUACUGGUUUUGUGACAAUUUGAUUGAUAAACUCUAUUUAAUAUUUGUAAAAAAAAAAGCAUAAAAUAUAUGUGAUCAUAAAUUCACUUAGAAGAAGUUUUAACGAAGCAACAAAUUAAACAAUUGAAUCUACCCUAACAAAGUAGUGUAUCCUUAGGCUAAAAAGAGGGGGGAUCUGAAUGGGAAUAAAAUCAUAAAUCAAACAAAACCAGACAACACAAUUGCAAUAAACAAAAUCUAUAAAAAGUAUUUAGUCAAUUAAGUUUUUAUUUCUGUCUACACACACACAGUCAAUGUACCCUAAAGGCAGUUGUGGUUUAUUAAUCUCUAUGGCACAUUUGAUGGCUUUUUAUAUCUCAUAAUAUCUGUAUGGGAAUCCUACUUUAGGAUCACCACUUUUUCAAAUAUGAGAUGUCUUAAGUCAAUUAAACUACCUACUCUAUAACUAAACAGAAAUCUAUUGUUCAUACAGGAAAACAUUGUGCACGCAAAAAGUCAUUCUACGUGUUUAAAAUUUGAGGGAAAAGUGCUUAAAUAU